rnacentral:rRNA from 1 species
UGGGGAAUUUUGGACAAUGGGCGCAAGCCUGAUCCAGCCAUGCCGCGUGAGUGACGAAGGCCUUAGGGUUGUAAAGCUCUUUUGGCGGGGACGAUAAUGACGGUACCCGCAGAAUAAGCCCCGGCUAACUUCGUGCCAGCAGCCGCGGUAAUACGAAGGGGGCUAGCGUUGUUCGGAAUUACUGGGCGUAAAGCGCACGUAGGCGGAUUUGUCAGUCAGGGGUGAAAUCCCGAGGCUCAACCUCGGAACUGCCUCCGAUACAGCAAGUCUCGAGUCCGGAAGAGGUGAGUGGAAUUCCUAGUGUAGAGGUGAAAUUCGUAGAUAUUAGGAAGAACACCAGUGGCGAAGGCGGCUCACUGGUCCGGUACUGACGCUGAGGUGCGAAAGCGUGGGGAGCAAACAGGAUUAGAUACCCGGGUAGUCCCUGAGCGGGCUGGCAAGGCGCAU